rnacentral:rRNA from 1 species
GAUGAACGCUGGCGGCGUGCCUAAUACAUGCAAGUCGAGCGAACGGACGAGAAGCUUGCUUUUCUGAUGUUAGCGGCGGACGGGUGAGUAACACGUGGAUAACCUACCUAUAAGACUGGGAUAACUUCGGGAAACCGGAGCUAAUACCGGAUAAUAUUUUGAACCGCAUGGUUCAAAAGUGAAAGGCGGUCUUGCUGUCACUUAUAGAUGGAUCCGCGCUGCAUUAGCUAGUUGGUAAGGUAACGGCUUACCAAGGCAACGAUGCAUAGCCGACCUGAGAGGGUGAUCGGCCACACUGGAACUGAGACACGGUCCAGACUCCUACGGGAGGCAGCAGUAGGGAAUCUUCCGCAAAGGGCGAAAGCCUGACGGAGCAACGCCGCGUGAGUGAUGAAGGUCUUCGGAUCGUAAAACUCUGUUAUUAGGGAAGAACAUAUGUGUAAGUAACUGUGCACAUCUUGACGGUACCUAAUCAGAAAGCCACGGCUAACUACGUG